CCUACGGGGGGCAGCAGUGAGGAAUAUUGGUCAAUGGGCGAGAGCCUGAACCAGCCAAGUCGCGUGAGGGAGUACUGCCCUAUGGGUUGUAAACCUCUUUUGUCGGGGAGCAAAAGCCGGACGUGUCCGGCUGUGAGAGUACCCGAAGAAAAAGCAUCGGCUAACUCCGUGCCAGCAGCCGCGGUAAUACGGAGGAUGCGAGCGUUAUCCGGAUUUAUUGGGUUUAAAGGGUGCGCAGGCGGAUUUUUAAGUCAGCGGUAAAAUCGUGGGGCUCAACCCCAUCCAGCCGUUUAAACUGGGGAUCUAGAGUGUGCGAGAGGUAUGCGGAAUGCGUGGUGUAGCGGUGAAAUGCAUAGAUAUCACGCAGAACCCCGAUUGCGAAGGCAGCAUACCGGUGCACAACUGACGCUCAGGCACGAAAGCGUGGGUAUCGAACAGGAUUAGAUACCCCUGUAGUC
rnacentral:rRNA from 1 species